rnacentral:misc_RNA from 1 species
AUCAAUCUCCUGGAUGCAGCAUCACUUGUUGCUGCGAUUCGCGGCACCGUCGGCGUUUUCCAUCUCGCGUCGCCCUGCACCGUCGACAGAGUCAAGGAUCCGGAGGGGGAGCUGUUGGAUCCGGCAGUGAAGGGGACACUCAAUGUGCUUCGUGCCGCAAAGGAGAGUGGGAUCGGGCGGGUUGUGGUGACUUCAUCAGUCUCCGCCAUCAUUCCCAGCCCCGGCUGGCCGGACAAUGCCAUAAAAAAUGAGGAAUGCUGGACUGAUGUCGAUUACUGCAAGCAAAAUGGGG